GUCGAAGUAUGUUUCAUUGAAGACAAAAACAAGAGGCAACAGGUCCGCCAUAGCUGAAAAAAUGGACUAUUUAAGAAGGCUCUAGAAUAUGCAACAAUGACUGGGGAUGAUAUAACCCUGCAAAUUAGAGACCAGUAUUAUACAUCAAAAAGUUCCAAAGACACAGACACGCCGACAAAUGGACAGACAAGGCAGAAUGUGGAUAUGCCAAGCUGCUCAGAUGCCUAUUUAUCCCUCAAAGCGAUAAGACAGAGAGGAAAAACCACAUCAGAUGUUGCGGUCCAGUGAGCCCUCAUUGAUAAUAAUGCAAUGGUAUCGGCAAUGAUAGACAUUGCAGAGUAUGCGGGAAAAAGUACGCAGACAAUUCUAGAACCAAUCAGAAGCUGUGGAUUGGAUGCGAAUCAGACAAUUGUGACUACUGGCUGGAGGCGAAUAUUUAUAAUGAAUGUUACAGAAAGUUUCUUUAAAUGUGGAACUGGAAUGCGGAUUUUUGUUUUUCGAUGCGCAGGGCGGAAAUACUGUUUUAUUUGGACUGUGAUUCUUUAAAUUUACAGAUUUAUAUUUUUGUAAAUAUACAGAUCAUGUGUGUAUAUAUAGAUAAUGUGUGAUUCAAGGUAUUUCUCAGACCUGUUUACCAACCCAGGGUGCUUAGCCAGAGUAAUGUGCGAUAAGUGACAAAUUACAUUUUCAAAAUCCAAUUAUUCCUCAACUAUCAAAGGUACAGACAUAUUUCAUACCCCCAUUUUGUUGCAUUUUCGGAAACCUUUUAUUUGAUUAUAACAC